UUAACACAUGCAAGUCGAACGAAAAGAGGGAAAGAGCUUGCUCUUUCCGGAAUUGAGUGGCAAACGGGUGAGUAACACGUAAACAACCUGCCUUCAGGAUGGGGACAACAGACGGAAACGACUGCUAAUACCGAAUAAGUUCCAAGAGCCGCAUGGCUCUCGAUUUAAAAUUCCGGUGGUACGGGACGGGCACGCGCGACAUUAGGUAGUUGGCGGGGUAACGGCCCACCAAGCCGACGAUGUCUAGGGGUUCUGAGAGGAAGGUCCCCACACUGGAACUGAGACACGGUCCAGACUCC
rnacentral:rRNA from 1 species